UGGCCCAUCAAAAUGUGUGUGUUCAAUUGUUGAACACACACAUUUUGAUGGGCCAAU
rnacentral:pre_miRNA from 1 species